UCUGCCCACUGAGUUUUUAAAGGGCCGCGGUAAUUUGACCGUGCGAAGGUAGCAUAAUCAGUAGUCUUUUAAUUGGAGGCUUGAAUGAAUGGCUGGAUGAGGGACAUUCUGUCUUUGUUGUAUAUUAGAAUUUAACUUUUAAGUGAAAAGGCUUAAAUUUUUUGGGGGGACGAUAAGACCCUAUAAAACUUAAUACAUUUAAGUUUUAGUUGAUAAUUAUUUAUAACUUAGUUUUAAUUAUGAUGUAUUUCGUUGGGGAAACGUUGAUAUAAUAAUUAAUUGUCUUUAAAAUAUAAUAGCAUUUGUUAGGUUAAGAUCCUGUUUUAUGGAUUAAAAGUUUAAGUUACUUUAGGGAUAACAGCGUCAUUUUCUUUGAGAGUUCUUAUCGACAAGAUUAGUUGCGACCUCGAUGUUGAAUUAAAAUUAAAAGUUGGUGUAGCAGCUAGCUUUAUUAUUAGGUCUGUUCGACCUUUAAAAUUUU
rnacentral:rRNA from 1 species